rnacentral:lncRNA from 1 species
UUACCUGAUAAGUCAUAAUUUGCAGACCCCUGUUUUUGGUCUCACAAAAAGAGAGAGAUUAUUCUUUGCUGGUAAAAUGGGAGGAUAUUUUCUCUACCAACCACCUAGGAUGGUGAUGAGUGAAAGACAUUUGUCAUUGAAGUUUUUUGCAUAGGACAUGUUCUGAUGCGAUAUACUGUCAUUUGACAUUCAGAAAAAUUAUUGAAUUAUCCAUAGUAGCAGGAUGUACACUUUUACUGAGAGCUAAUGAGAAAUUUAUCUUUUCAAGAAAUAAUUUUUGCUGAAGGAAGAAAAAAUAUGAAUAUACUUUGCAUAAGUAAUAGUACAAGUAUGAUUCUUUUAUUCCUAGUAUUUCUAGGACACUGGUUGGUAGGUUAAGUAAUUUCUUAAGCAGAGAAGGGAUUGAGCAGAUUACAUCCACUAUUGGACUUUAUUUUUACUCUUCUCCUUGAACUUAUCAUUUUCUGUUUUAUGUAGAUGGUUUAUUGGCUAGACUGGACUGAGAGAGUACAGUGAGGAGUCAGCUUCAUUAUUUUCUAAACAUUGCCUUCAGCAAGACUCUUUGGAUCACCUUCCCCAAUUCAGAGGAUUUCUUUGGUGAAUCUCAGACACUUUCAGGUAGAGGCCAGGAGUGGAUGGACCUGGAGUUCUGUGUGCUUGAACUUGGUCUGGAUGGCCCACUGCUGCUCUUGGACUACCAAGGAUGCACCAAGGAAGAUCAUAAACAGGCAUCCAGAUUGCCAUAAAUUACUGUGAAACUUUUAGAGAAGAUGAUUCCAAAUCCACAGCCUUUUUUGCUGCAUUUCUUAGAGGGCUCAAGAAACAUGUAUUUUUGGAAUGAAGAAAGGAGACACACAGAAGAGAAACAUGUGAGCAAAGCACUAUAUGGAACUUCACUGAUGGCUCAGUGGGUAAGAACCCGCCUGCCUAUGCAGGAGGUGCAAGAGACACGUUGAAUCCUUGGGGUGGGAAGAUCCCCUGGAGAAAGAAAAUGGCAACCCCAUCCAGGAUUCUUGCCUGGGGGAUCUCAUGGACAGAAACGCCUGGAGGGCUAUAUAGCCCAUAAUGGGGUAGCAAGGAGUUGGACACAACUGAGCACAUGACACAAGGCACUGCGUGGUCAAGUUUCAUCCUUGAAUGGAGUCAGCUACACAUAAUUAAAGUGGAGUCCCAAGGUUUGCUGCAAAUUAAUUAUUGGGAUCAAUUUUAUUUCAUGUCUUUUUCAAUUUAGUUCCUAAUUUUGAUAUUAUCUUUCAGUUGACUUGAGUGUCUCCUCGAAUUUGGUUUUCUGUGUGUGUUUUAGAGAUUUUUUUUGCACCUGAGAAUGUCUUUAUACAUUCAUUUAAAACAAGUGAUCUGGAUACUAAAUUACUGAGUCACUGAAUUUCUCUUCACAAUAAAAUUUGGUGUUAAAUCUUAGGCCAACCUAGCUUUUAUUUAUUAUAGGUGGCGUGUUUCUUCUUCUUGCUUGAAUAUUUUUAAGAUGUUUUCUUUAUUCUUGUAAGCUGAAAUAUUUGUUGUGGUGUGCCUGGAUCUGAAUGUCUCUCUAUUGAUUGCAUUGAACAUGGUGAAUGCAUUCAUACUGCAUACUCAGGCCAUAUUUAUUUUUCCAGUGAGGGAAAUUUUUCUUUGAUUAUUAACAUUUGAACAUCAGAAAUCAUCCCCUGUGAGUGUGUGUGUGUGUUUUUUUUUAAUAGAUACUGAGUUUACCCAGAAAAGAUAGUAAACUUGUUCUUCGUGACCCAAGGAAAUUUAACUGACUUUACCAUGAGACAAUAUGAUGGUUGAAAACAUACUUUAAAAGUAUAUAUAGAUUACAGAAAUACUUUUUCCUGAACAAAGAGGAAGAAACUGGUUGUUUGGAAAGAGACUUUUUGUGUGUGUUUUUUUGUUCCAUAUUUUUUCAGAGUCAUAUUCUUUUUGGCAUACAUGGUAAACAUACCUAAGGGCAUUUUUCUCUUAAUUUUGGAAUCCAAGUUAAAUCUCUUGUUCUAGAACACCCACGUGAUAUAACUUUAAUGCUAGAAGGAAAUCUAGGUCUCUGGUGGCAAGAGGACUAUAUAUGUGCGGAAGGAAGGGUUGGUAAAUAAGCUGGAAGAGUCAUCAUAGAAUCAUGACUUAAUAGCAUAAUAUGAGCUUUUCCCUUUUAUAUCAAGCUUAUAGUAUUGUUGGAGAAGGCAA